rnacentral:rRNA from 1 species
UACGGUAGGGUGCGAGCGUUAAUCGGAAUUACUGGGACGUGAAAGCGGUGCGUCAGGCGGUUUUGUAAGCCAGAUGUGAAAAUCCCCGGGCUUAACCUGGGAAUUGGCAUUUGGGACUGACAAGGCUGGAGUUUGGCAGAGGAGACUGGAAUUCCUGGUGUAAGCAGUGAAAUGCGUAGAUAAUCAGGAGGAAUACCGAUGGCGA